ensembl:lncRNA
AAGCACUUUGAGAAGGUCAGGACCACCAAAGGCUGCUGAGGGCAUGCUGGCCUUAGCGCCACUGAAAGAGGACUUCAUUAGAUUGAAAAUAGGGAAGACUGCUACCUUCCAGCUCAUUACACCCUUUUUAUGCCUCAUCCACUGACCUCCAGCCAUUAUGAGACAGUCUUCAUGGCAGGGGUGCCACAGUGAUGACACAGGAUUUCAUUUGCUCCUUGCUAAGGGGUUGUCUUGUUUUCCAUUCUUCUUUUCUGUGUCAAGUUACUGACAAGGCUGCAGUUAGGCACAGUGACUACGAAGAUGGUGAGAGAUCAGGCACCUAAUGCAGGAAUUCCUACAUUCCUAUAAACAGGAAUAAGCUGAUUAUCUUGCCUCUGUGAUGUCACGGAUAGACUGUGUCAUGCUAUUGCUAUGUGAGAUUUUACUGGGCAUGUGCACACGCAGAUAAAAACACACACAAAAUUACCGAAACAGAAACUGUUUGAAGAAAAAAGUGUACAGACUGAAUCUUGAAGGAUCUGAGCUACUGCCCACCUCUUUUUUAAAGUCUUCAGCCUGGAGACUGGAGCAGCUCCCUCAGAAUGAUCUCAUCAUAUGGAGUGAACAAUACGCCUUACAAAUUAUUAGGUUUGGCUGCUUUUUUUUGUUUUGUUUUGUUUUCUUCAAGCCACUGAGGGUGAAAAGGAAACAAAAGGCAGAUUUUGAUUGAUGUAGUAAAUGUGGAUAUGGCUGGAGCCAGGAAGAAUACAUUAGAGAAGUGACUGAUGGCCUUGAUUACGGUCAGCGUAUGGAGAACACCAGCUUUCACUGUAACUGGAGGCUGCAGCUCGUGAUUCUUUUUGUCUGGAACAGUUUGUGUUUUCCUCUGAACAGGUUCACAGAGACAAGUAACAACAGAAUUGGUAUCUCACUGAUUUCUGUAAUGGUAGGUUGGUAUUUGCACUGUCAGGGACCCAUCUUUACUGGAGUUCAAAACAUUUAUAAAGUGGACACAGUACUUAUGUGACCAUAUCUGGUUGUUUUGUGUUUUUUUUUUUUAAUUGCUUCAGAAAAAUAUAUUCAGGAUUAAUUCUGUAAUUCAAAAAGAGUCAAUACUGUUAGUACAAAGUUUGAUUUGCUUUAAAUUUGUCUGCCUUAUCCUUUGAUUCCUUUGAAGAAUGUUGCCGGUCUCCUCAGAUAAGUGAAUAUUUCUAACUUAGACACAGCAAGUGAAGGUCACAGUUGGGCUGACCAGAUGGGGAAGUGGAAACACAAGGUGACAACAGCAAGAAUGUGUGAUGUCCAGUAGUGGUAUGCCACAGGAAAAUGUUUUUCUACACUCCCUUUAAAGGCUAGGUCUGCCAGAAGGAGGUAGCUGCAAACCCCCAGCUUUGAUGGGGACAGGGAAAGAGGGGGUGGAGGCUUUUGUGGAAGAAGAGAGGU